GAUGAACGCUGGCGGCGUGCCUAAUACAUGCAAGUCGAGCGAACAGAUGAGGAGCUUGCUCCUCUGACGUUAGCGGCGGACGGGUGAGUAACACGUGGAUAACCUACCUAUAAGACUGGGAUAACUUCGGGAAACCGGAGCUAAUACCGGAUAAUAUAUUGAACCGCAUGGUUCAAUAGUGAAAGACGGUUUUGCUGUCACUUAUAGAUGGAUCCGCGCCGCAUUAGCUAGUUGGUAAGGUAACGGCUUACCAAGGCAACGAUGCGUAGCCGACCUGAGAGGGUGAUCGGCCACACUGGAACUGAGACACGGUCCAGACUCCUACGGGAGGCAGCAGUAGGGAAUCUUCCGCAAAGGGCGAAAGCGUGACGGAGCAACGCCGCGUGAGUGAUGAAGGUCUUCGGAUCGUAAAACUCUGUUAUUAGGGAAGAACAAAUGUGUAAGUAACUAUGCACGUCUUGACGGUACCUAAUCAGAAAGCCACGGCUAACUACGUG
rnacentral:rRNA from 1 species